AGCAGCAUGGCGCAGUUGGAAGCGCGCGGGGCCCAUAUCUAGGUGCAACCCCGAGGUCACUUGAUCGAAACAAGUUGCUGCUA